rnacentral:lncRNA from 1 species
GGUUUUCUUUUCGGUUUUGCUUUUGCUGUCGAUGGAGUAGUUAUGGUUUAUGAUCAUAAUAAAGACACAUGAAAUAUUUGCACAAUAUUAAAGAGCGGGAUUUGCUGUCGUUUUUUGGGAAGGCGUGUCUUUGUCGCACUUGACUAUUGGACAAAGUAGGUAGGGGCGAAGUCACGUAGGGUUUAAUUUCGUGGGUCAAAGUCUGAAAGAGCUAUUUCAUUGGGUUUUGUUUUGUUAUCUGACAGUCAGGUAAGACAAUCUUUUACUGUUUGGUAAAAGAAAAUAAAUUGUUUUACAGAGCAUGUGACAUCCAAGUUUUCAUCUCAUCCAAUCAACCACAUGAUAAUUCCAAAACUGCACGCCUCGAUUUUUGUAC